GGAAAAAAACAUCGGCUACUUCUGAGCGCGUGUGUGUGUGCGUGCGUGCGUAUAUGUGCGGGUGUGUGUGCACGCGUGCUACCUGGCAAGGUUUCUGUGUUGACCUGCCGGACCCCAAUGUGGGGAACAAUGGAAUAUUUUACAAAUACUGGACCGACAGAUAUGGCCCACGCUGUCAGCCUUGCGUACGCUAUUGCUAAAACUGAAUUGUGAACAACAUCGCUACGGGACAGUGAACGCCCUGCAGAGGCGUGUCGGAUUCUGUGUGGUCGAUCUUGAGUUUAGUAUAAUAUAUGACGGAAAAAUUGCUGCGCACGCAAUAAGCCCUUAGGUUGUUCUAUCUUGUUCUUUCUUUAUUCUUUUUUUUUUGUACUUACUAGCUUUUAGACUGGCGCUGUGGCUGUUAUCUCUCUUUAUUCUAGGAAUGACAAAACUUAAGUGGACCUGGUGGCGCUGCUUCAGUUUGAUAUAAAGCUUCCUUGAGAAAACAUCAAACGCUGCAGAGUGCACGUGCUUGCACGGAGAACAACCUACCACCAUUACGGCCUUUACCGAUGGCUUUUAUCAGUUGCGGGGUGCCGCUGGGAGGGCUGCCUUCAGGUACAAGAAGGAAGAUUUCUUACUUCCGAAAAAAGAACACUGCGGAACGUAACUUUCAAUAUUCUACAACAACUGCAAGCUCGCUCAGUCCGCCUCCGUGUCUUACUUCAGAGUUGAUACGAUGAUUACAAUAGUGAUGUCCUGAAAAUUUAUCAUUUUCUUCUCAGAUUUCUUUUCUUAGUGCCUUCCAUUACAAGAUCAUUCUAAUAGCUCAAUCCGUCAUGCGACUACUUCAUAUAUAUAUAUAUAUAUAUA